GGGCAAGGGGCUGAACAAGGGCCAGGAGGGAUCUGGGGGUCCCAUCAGGGUGACAAGGUGACAGGGCUAAAGGACAAGGUACAAAAUACAGGAGGGGUUCAUCCUGGAGAUGUGUCUGAUGUCCCUCUGGGGGAUAGGGCUGCAGAUAAAUAAUCCUACAGCUCAGCUCAGACAGGGGACCUUCUUACAGAUGAUGAUGAUGAAGGCAGUAACAAAUAGCCAAUGUGAACAGUAAUUUUUAAUAUAGUCAUUAACCCUGUUGGAAAGAACUGAAGCUUCCUACUGAAACAUGUGAUGUUUCCUGGCCACUGACCCCAGCAAAAAUGGAAAUGACUCAUAUCAGAUCUACCUUGAAUGUUAGAAGAACUAGGACUGACCCCUGCAGCGCUUCUCGUAUGAUAUUGGGCUCAGGCAAGGUAGCAGCACUGGGACAUCUCAGAGCCCAGGAAUCUUCAGAUGGCCCAAGCUGUCAGUGUGUGACCUUUACCAGGGU
rnacentral:lncRNA from 1 species